rnacentral:tRNA from 1 species
UCCCUGGUGGCUCAGAUGGUAAAGCAUCUGCCUACAAUACAGGAGACCCAGGUUCGAUCUCUGGGUUGGGAA